UGCUGGAGGUAUCAGAAGUGCGAAUGCUGACAUAAGUAACGAUAAAGCGGGUGAAAAGCCCGCUCGCCGGAAGACCAAGGGUUCCUGUCCAACGUUAAUCGGGGCAGGGUGAGUCGACCCCUAAGGCGAGGCCGAAAGGCGUAGUCGAUGGGAAACGGGUUAAUAUUCCCGUACUUGGUGUUACUGCGAAGGGGGGACGGAGAAGGCUAUGUUGGCCGGGCGACGGUUGUCCCGGUUUAAGCGUGUAGGUGUGUGUUCCAGGUAAAUCCGGUUCACUUUAACACUGAGGCGUGACGACGAGGCACUACGGUGCUGAAGCAACAAAUGCCCUGCUUCCAGGAAAAGCCUCUAAGCAUCAGGUAACACGAAAUCGUACCCCAAACCGACACAGGUGGUCAGGUAGAGAAUACCAAGGCGCUUGAGAGAACUCGGGUGAAGGAACUAGGCAAAAUGGUGCCGUAACUUCGGGAGAAGGCACGCUGACACGUAGGUGAAGUGAUUUACUCAUGGAGCUGAAGUCAGUCGAAGAUACCAGCUGGCUGCAACUGUUUAUUAAAAACACAGCACUGUGCAAACACGAAAGUGGACGUAUACGGUGUGACGCCUGCCCGGUGCCGGAAGGUUAAUUGAUGGGGUCAGCGUAAGCGAAGCUCCUGAUCGAAGCCCCGGUAAACGGCGGCCGUAACUAUAACGGUCCUAAGGUAGCGAAAUUCCUUGUCGGGUAAGUUCCGACCUGCACGAAUGGCGUAAUGAUGGCCAGGCUGUCUCCACCCGAGACUCAGUGAAAUUGAACUCGCUGUGAAGAUGCAGUGUACCCGCGGCAAGACGGAAAGACCCCGUGAACCUUUACUAUAGCUUGACACUGAACAUUGAGCCUUGAUGUGUAGGAUAGGUGGGAGGCUUUGAAGUGUGGACGCCAGUCUGCAUGGAGCCGACCUUGAAAUACCACCCUUUAAUGUUUGAUGUUCUAACGUGGACCCGUAAUCCGGGUUGCGGACAGUGUCUGGUGGGUAGUUUGACUGGGGCGGUCUCCUCCUAAAGAGUAACGGAGGAGCACGAAGGUUGGCUAAUCCUGGUCGGACAUCAGGAGGUUAGUGCAAUGGCAUAAGCCAGCUUGACUGCGAGCGUGACGGCGCGAGCAGGUGCGAAAGCAGGUCAUAGUGAUCCGGUGGUUCUGAAUGGAAGGGCCAUCGCUCAACGGAUAAAAGGUACUCCGGGGAUAACAGGCUGAUACCGCCCAAGAGUUCAUAUCGACGGCGGUGUUUGGCACCUCGAUGUCGGCUCAUCACAUCCUGGGGCUGAAGUAGGUCCCAAGGGUAUGGCUGUUCGCCAUUUAAAGUGGUACGCGAGCUGGGUUUAGAACGUCGUGAGACAGUUCGGUCCCUAUCUGCCGUGGGCGCUGGAGAACUGAGGGGGGCUGCUCCUAGUACGAGAGGACCGGAGUGGACGCAUCACUGGUGUUCGGGUUGUCAUGCCAAUGGCACUGCCCGGUAGCUAAAUGCGGAAGAGAUAAGUGCUGAAAGCAUCUAAGCACGAAACUUGCCCCGAGAUGAGUUCUCCCUGAGACUUAGAGUCUCCUGAAGGAACGUUGAAAACGACGACGUUGAUAGGCCGGGUGUGUAAGCGCAGCGAUGCGUUGAGCUAACCGGUACUAAUGAACCGUGAGGCUUAACCUUACAACGCCGAAG
rnacentral:rRNA from 5 species